ensembl:lncRNA
AUUGCUGAGUCCGCACAGACCAGAGUACUUGCAGGUAGCCAGCUCCUGGGCACAGUUUUGACUUGCUCCAGACACUACAUCUCCAUAUAAUACCUUGAGGACACAUCAGGGGACAGUGCAGGUCACAGGCUUUUUCCAGUAGGCAGUAUGAAUGAAGCUGUCUUGUCCCGAAUGCUGUGACAGAGCAUUUUGUCACAUGGACACAAGCUGUGCCAUCCUGCUUGCCAAAGACAACCAGGAAGGGACCUUUGUCCCACAUUGUAUUUUUGUAUAGCUAGAGCCACCGAGACCAUCUCACGAGACAGACACAGUCUUAGAGCUAAGAAGAUUCUGCUUUAAGAUCCAGUAAUCUUGAAUUAUGCCCAGUUUUAUGAUGAAGCUGUUCAUGGUCACCACACUACUGUAAAUGUGGCCUGUAGGUGAGGCCUCAACGAACUAACCAAACAGCUCAGUUUUGCCACACAGAGCUUGACAGGUGCAAAUCUAAUCUGAAUUUUACAUUAAAGAGGCUCUGCUCUGACGGUGAGUUGGUUCAAGAAAAAGCAGUGCAGGUGUGCAAAGAAGAGUCUUGCAAGCAACAAGGCAUCAUGGUACUUCCAUUUCACAGUAGUCUUCACUGCUGCGUGACAUUAGAGAAGUACCCUAAUGCAUCUUCUUUUAUUUCUGCAAAAUAAAUGGCAAGCCAAGAUAGAACAGAAGAGUCAAAAGAAGCUGUAAAUGAAACUAGCAUUUCCAGUAUAUUUCUUCUUUAGAUGAAUAGUAUAAAUUUGAAACAAUUUCAAAUAAUUAAAAUACGCUAAAUAUAUGGCGUACAUUGCCACUCCCGCUGUUGUAAAUCGGUUUACCUUUGCUGCAUUUAUAUCUCUAGGAUUUAACUUUGUAUGAAUAGAAAGAAAUAUGAUGUGUAAGAUGUGUGUUUAUAUGAAAGCUGUACUUUCUUCCAAGAGAAUGUAUGCAACUUUGACUUGUUUUGUACCAAACAAACAAAAAAACCAAAUAAACAAAAAGAU